rnacentral:pre_miRNA from 1 species
UAGGAUCAGGUAAUCUGCAUCCUGAGGUUUAGAAACAAUAUGUUUAUCGGGUCUAAUCCUUGGGAUGUAGAUUACCACGUCCUU